rnacentral:rRNA from 1 species
UACGUAGGGGGCAAGCGUUAUCCGGAUUUAUUGGGUUUAAAGGGAGCGUAGGCUGUAAGGUAAGUCAGCGGUGAAAUGCCCCCGCUCAACGGGGUGAAGUGCCAUUGAUACUGCCUUGCUGGAAUGCGGAUGCCGUGGGAGGAAUGUGUGGUGUAGCGGUGAAAUGCAUAGAUAUCACGCAGAACUCCGAUUGCGAAGGCAGCAUGCCGGCUCCACACUGACGCUGAGGCGCGAAAGCGUGGGGAGCAAACAGG